UACGUAGGGGGCAAGCGUUGUCCGGAUUUAUUGGGCGUAAAGAGCGUGUAGGCGGCCAAGCAGGUCCGUUGUGAAAACUGGAGGCUUAACCUCCAGACGUCGACGGAAACCGCGUGGCUAGAGUCCGGAAGAGGAGAGUGGAAUUCCUGGUGUAGCGGUGAAAUGCGCAGAUAUCAGGAAGAACACCAAUGGCGAAGGCAGCUCUCUGGGACGGUACUGACGCUGAGACGCGAAAGCGUGGGGAGCGAACAGG
rnacentral:rRNA from 1 species